GUUAUGAAGUGAUAGGAAAAGUAGUAGUUUGUGUGUGGUAGUGGUUCCAGAGGCCAUGUGGGUACCCCGUCGUCGUUCUGGAUGCAGUGCAUCAUGGACCUGACCAGUUGCUUUUUCGUUUUUGGUUUUAUUUUUUUUACAGCCCUUAUCUGCUUAUCAGCUUAUUUGGAGAGCAGCCGAAGAAAAAACUGAAACGACGCGGGAAAUAAUAAUAAUAAUAACAUGCACAUCAACUGGCUAUCGCAUAUAGGCCAAAAAUGCGAGGGCGAUAACUCUUACUGGAUUAGCUGUCGUGCGGCAUUAUCUCUUCUAUAAUUCAUUUCCAGUUUGGCUUUGGAUUUCACUCGGAUUUUGUCGCCAUAAUGCCAAGAUUUGCCACUGGAAACUCUGUUGUGUUAACAAAACAUAAUUUCUGUUGGCUAUUCGUUGAAUCUCUUUUAAGCGCUAUAAAAUUGUAUUUACCCUACUCUCGUUGCUGUCGUUGGUUUUUCCGCAGAAUAAAGUUUUCACAGACCAACUCCAACCUAAUUAAUUAUUAUCACAACUUUGUCCAACUCUGCAAUAUGCAUGAUACAUGUGUAUCUUUUCGCAUAUAUCCACUAGCGCAGCUGACCAAAUGCAAAGUUGGCACACAGUCUGUGGUAGAAGAAAUAUAUAUAUAUUUAUAGGCUGAGUGAAAGCCGAAUCAAAAUGGAAAGGGUUGACAAAUUUCGUCCAGAAAACAAAAGGAAUUCAGAGUGGGCAAAGCAGAGGGAAAAACAGCGCUUUCCUUCAGCCAUUUGCGAAUGUAAGGAUCCCAAGUUUAUGCAAAACAGGGGACGGCAUUAAGAUACUUUUAAAGAUUUUCUGCACACACCUUUUGGCUCAACAUGAAAGCCAGGAUCUCUGGAAUAGUGAACUCCUUGACAUGAAACAUUAAUUGAAUUCUAUUGGAAUGCCCGUCGAUUGACAUCUGAGUUAUUGACACAUCAACAUCGUAAUUGUUGAGGUUUUAAACGGGCAUAACUAGGCUCGUUUCGAAUUCAAUUAGGACUUUGUGUGUUAAGGUCAACUGCCACAUGCAAAAGGGGAAGUCUAAGACUCUAAGGCUAAAUUGGAAUCUUGAUGCGUUGCAAAUUGCCUUGCAUAAACGCAAAUUAUUUUGGCCACAAAAUCAGGCCACAAUUGGUCCAAUGUGCGUCUCCAUGCGACAGCUGUGGUCCGUUUGCAUGCUCCCAGGUUCGAUUAUUAAUAUCGACUGACAACUGCACAUGUUUCUGGACGGGUUUUCUCCCCAAACGAUAUGAUUAGGCGCGGCUGCCGCAAUCCAACAGCCCAGAAACCGUGCCCAAUCAAAGACCCUUUAAUUUGGAAUCGACCAGCGGGCACCGCUGCCCCAAAGCCACAAAAAUCCAAAAUGCGAAUCUGGGCGACGAAUCCUAAUGUAAAUUUGAUGAACCUGCGUGUGUCGCAUUGUCUUUCCACACGUGACUGCCUUCAAAAUUGAUUUCAAAUUGCGGAUCAAAAGGAAACAAUUGAAAACGAAAUGAACGUAUAUUAAAUAAAG